rnacentral:rRNA from 1 species
CCCUUAGAUGUUCUGGGCCGCACGCGUGCUACACUGAGUGGAUCAGCGGGUCAGGUUGCGCGAAAGUGUUUCCUAAUCUUGAAAUCCGCUCGUGAUGGGGAUUGACGGUUGCAAUUUUCCGUCAUGAACGAGGAAUACCUUGUAAGCGCGGGUCAUCAUCCCGCGCUGAAUACGUCCCUGCCCUUUGUACACACCGCCCGUCGCUCCUACCGAUUGAGUGGUCCGGUGGGGCUUUGGGAGCUGAGCGGAAAGAGCGUUUCGCUGUUUCUGCUCGGAAAACUCAGUCGAACCUUAUCAUUUAGAGGAAGGAGAAGUCGUAACA